UGGCUCGGUGCAUUCGUAAAUACAGUUUCGUUCAGUUCGGACGCAGCGAACACCCGAAGACCCACCAACCAGUGAACAUACCUCUACUUCUUUUACGUGGUCCAUGAGGCUGCUGAACAACACGACGUGAAAAUGUAGACGAGACGGAUUCGGUGCGGAGCGCGACAGUUUACCUGAACCCUACGGGGUCGGUGCUUGAACAAUCCGUACGCAACCAUAAACUGGUCUGAUUAGAGUUUGAAAUUUCCUCACAUUUCGAACAAUUUGAGAAGAGCACUUCGAGAUACAUGCAAUUAGUUUAGAGCAGACUCGUAGUUUGAGAUCGAGAUUAAUCGUCGGCACACCAUCUUCUCUAAACGCAUACUACUACUACGAGAGAGGGGGCACACACGGAACAGUUGGAAUUGAAACAAAAAGCAUACAUUAAAAAAAAAGGGGGAAAAGAGAGAGGAUCACAAUUUUGCUAAGCGCUCCUAGCUUCGCGAAUCCAUCCUUAGAUUCGCCGGCCAGAGAACCUCCUCCUCUUCGUCUCUUACCUUUUUGGGGGCCGUGAUAGUUAGAACACCAUCCGAAGAAAGGCUCGAGGUAAUAUUGAUCACGUCGUGCGAUGCUGGCAAGACGUAUCUCCGUACAAAGUGUCUACUGACAAAUCCGUGCUCGUCUUGCCUCUCUUCGUGUUUGGCUUCGACAAUAACUUGGUUACCGACCGUCUUCACCGUGAUCUCUUCCGGUGAGAAUUGUUGAACGUCCAGUAUUACCUGCCACAGAUCAGAGAGAGCGAAGCGUUAGCAAAACCAUACAGAGAAACGGGCAAUUAGAGAGAGCAUUCGGCAUAAAAGCGAUCUUCCUCGCGAACCACGACGAUGUUGCCUGUCAUUGUUACGAUGAUGUACAGAGGCUAUAAAAGGGAUCUAAACGAUCAUUGAAUUCAAACUCUCUUGGGCACCAUUUUUUUGUAACAUUACCAUCUUUUGUCGCGAUUUUCCUUUGUUAAACCACACAUCCAGAGAGAGAAGCCUCGUACGCUUAAAUUAAACGCGCCGCUCCAAAGCGGGCGAAGGCGCAACUUCGCCUGCUUCAACCAUUGUCAUACAUGUUUAGCCUGUCUCCUUCGCAAUAAAAAACUACCAGAUUCUUCUCUUCCGGAAGAAGAUCCAAGUCUGGUCGACAAAAAUUGUGUAAUUAUCUUUGCUACCGUACGCACAACUGUUGCUAGCAGCUAACCACUCGACAAGAGAAAUCGAAUUUAGCUUUUUCUAAAUUGCGAGCUGUUUUUGGAGUUAAAAGCCAGGAAAAUGUAGGGACAUGAAAUUUUUCUCUCCCUUUCGAGGUUUCGUUUCUGUUUCAUCCAUCUUUCAUAUGUAACCAACCUCGACGAUGACAGUGUAGCCCAGCAGCGUUUUUGUAGCGAUCUCAGGAAAAGCAACACAGGAAAGAUGUAGUUGUGAAAUGUGGCGUAUCUAUUUGCGUGAUAGUUUUUUUUCGUUCGUAGAGAAGAUCGAGCAAACCGUACAGAUAGAUGAUACAAAUAUCAUACGUUUUAUCGCCGAAACGAGCCGAACUUUAGCGCGUUGACUUUUUAUUUUCCGCGCUACACGCGUGCUUUUCCUCGUUUGAUGGAUUGGUUCAUCUCGCAGUGGUUAGCGGCUUGACAUUAACGAACGAAGAGAGAAAACAACAUUCGAAGAGAGUAGGAAGGAGCGAGCCGUGGUUUUUCGGGUGAUCCUUCGUGAUCCUGAAAACCCGGUAAGCGACGUCCCUAUUUCAACGGCUUAAGAACACGACGAAAAAAAGAAAAACGUAUAGUGAGAAUACCAUUGUGAAAGCCAUCUUUUAAUCCUUUAUGUACCUCGAGCAGAGUUGUUAGACCAAAAGUCGAGGAUUUUUUGAAAAAGUGCUGCUGCAUUAAACAGAGAAACGACAUACGCGCGCCUGCAUUUUUGUAUAUAUAGAAAUUUCGUAUUGAAUCGUUUUCUAUAUACGGUCUUAUCGUUAAUGAUUCGAGAAGCAUUUAUUUUUAUAUAGAGAUUAUUUAUAUAUAGCGAACAAAGAGAGAUCCGAAAGUUUCAAGGAAACUCAGUUUUUUAGUCCGAGAGCGGCGCCCCCGUUUCGGGGGGGUGCUUCGACACACACCUCACACUUUCUCGGUUCUUUCUGCUAAAAAACAAAAAAGAAGACUGAUUCCCGCGUGACACGAUCCAUUUUUCGGAUUUUAAAAAAGGAAAUAAAACCACGUCCUCUUGAUAUAUAUUAUUAUAUUUGGUAUUGUUCGUAUUAAAAAAAAAAGAGUAUAAGAGAGAGAGAUUCUUUCGGAGAAAAAAAGGGUGUGGGCUCUUUGAGUCGUCGACAAAAAAAAAAUGGCGAAAGCCGAUUAAACUGUGAUUUCAAAGCAAGGAAUAUCCUGGCGUUAAAAAAGCGUGUCUGACAGAAAACAAAAAUACCGCGUUGCAAGAUCGGAGUGUAAUUUCUUUUCUACGAUUUUUCGAACAUUUUCUAGCUACUCGAGUCAUUUCGGGAAACAAAGAAAAAUAAAACAGAGUAGUUUUCGAGACCUGACUUUCAUCCCACCGACCCUUCCCCCUCUUCACCGAGGGAGGGGGUUCCCGUUCGAAAAUACAGCCCCGAAACGAGUUUCCAAUUUCUUUUCUAAACCACUACAAACGUACUGUAAGGCGAAAGGGAGGAGAGUAGCUCGGUAACUAUGCAGCGAGAAAAAAAGAAAAUGCCAAGAAACAGACGAAGCAGUAGUAGCAGCAGUAGCAGUAGCAGUAGUGGCAGAAACAGAGAAAUCGGUUUUCGGGCCUUCUGGUGUUCCAGUUUUAUCCCCUGAAAAUUACAUUGUCCUAUUUUUUCUUUUCUUUUUUAUCAUUCCGUUCAUUCGGUUGCGAUAAUUCUUUAAUGAUCGAACGAUUUCGUUACAAUAACCCUCUUUUCGAACGUUUGCGUUGAUAUAAAAUAGCAGCUUAGUUUAGCAGGUUUAGUUACAUUCUUUUUUAUAUCUUCUCUUUUCAGUUUCAUAGGAUUCUCUUAAACUUUGCGUAAACUAUUUCUCCUUUUACGAAUGCGAACCUUAUACAUUCCCAUUUAUCCUUUCUUGUAUCCAUCGAUCGGGUUUUUUAGGUCUUGAAAAUAUCGUCGAACUUUCUGAUUCGGUUUCACGUUUUCUUUAUUCUAGACACGCGUUGAUAAACGUAGACUCUAUAUGGUCACACACGAUCGAAAAAAGGUUCACUUUAGAUUCUAUCUCAGCCUAAGUUAGUCGACCGUGUUAGCCCGCGAAAUAGUUUCAAACAUUUCGCUCACUGUAUCAAGAAACUCCAAAAAAGAAACGUUGAAAAAUAUAUAUGGGUCAGUAAAUGUUUAGCCAGUUCUCGAUUGUUUGAAAAAAAAAACGCAUCAGCUUGCGAUAUAUAAACUCCAGUCGAAUCACGAGUUACUAAGUUACACGAUACAUAAAUAAAACCCCGUAUAUACUUGGUGUAAAGUUCAAUCUAGAAAGCAAGAAGCGUGUACACAGAGCGUUAGUUUAGGAUUCUAGAGGCGUUUUAUCCAGUUCUCAAAUCUUCCAAUAUCUGACACGUAGUCGAGAAGGGAGGCUUUUCCUAAAACUUAAGUCUCAAGGAGAAAGUGUGUGUAUAGUGCCUUUAAUUAAUUUUCGAAGUUCGCUUCUUUCGCGAUUAUUUUCUUUGCAUUUUAUUAAAACUUACUUCAUCGAAAUUUGUCCCUUUUUUACGACUUUUUAACCCUCGCCAACUUUUCACCCCCUCGCAGCAACUUAUCCUUUGGCUAUAAAUCAGCAAUAAUUAAAUAGUUCUGAAUUCUUGACCGGGUGCACAUUUCUCGUAUCAAAAAGUCGUUUUUCUACGUACGGUAAACUACAUAACAACGGCUAUCCCAUGACUUUCCGAUUCGCGUCCGAAAGUUAUGGGAUAGUCGUUGUGAACGUUUCAUGGUGCUAACUUCACCAGCAAUACACACGUGUUUGACAAAAUUUCUAUAAACACACGUGUGCUCGAGUUGCUCGAAGUCGUGGUUUACGCGAGUUAGCUUAAAAUCGCGCAAGAAGCUUCCUUCAGGUUUAGAGAUCUUAGUGAUCGAUUUCUUUUCGAAGAUAAGUGAGAAGUAAUAAUAAAGAGCUGUGUAUAGUUAGCGAGAGUACCUGUCCAUUGUCACAUUUCGGCCUUUGUUUCUCCUUUUUUACAGACCCUAAAUUCUCAGGUUUCGUUCUCCUCUUCUGUGGGAUUCCACCUCGGUGGGAUCCUGCAGAAGACGAGGCCCUUGCAGCAGUACCCUUUCAACCUAAUUAACGUUUUAAGCUUUGAACGCUUGCGAAAGGUUCAUAGAGAGACCAUAGGCUCCACUAAUUGUCGAGACGCUAAUCUUUUGAUGAAAAUAUUGCAACGCAGUCAUACGAGUCCACAAACAUACUAAAAAUUCGUGAGCUAAGAUCGUGCCAUAAAUUGUCCUCUUCACCGAUAGACAACUUCCAGAAGUCACAUCGUUAAACAUCCGAUUAAAGCAUGUUUAGCUAACUUGCUCGAAUAAAAAGAGUAUAAUAAAUUUUUGCAAGCAUCGAUUUCGAACACAGAGAACGCGUGCCACCUAAAGUUCUAAUUCCACGCGAUAAGAAUUCAAGCACCGUGGCAAUUCAGAUUUCACUGAUUAUAUAAGUCGAAAAUACACAGAUCGAUCGAUUAUUAUUGAGGAUUUUCAAGUUCGGUAAUCAGAGUAAAUACAUCAGCCGUAGUCUUCCAAUCGAUCAUUCUUAAGGCCCGUAUCCAUAGUUACCACUCGAAACAAAAGGUAAUCGCAAUCAGAUCUAUUGUCUCCAUUCGGACAAUAGGUGUGAUUCGUACCGUCGAGUGAUAACUAUGGAUAUGGCUCGUGGUUCUCUGAUCAAAG